AUUUGUAUUUUUUUUAUUUUCCUUACUCCCCUCCAGCGACUGCACACCCGGAGGCGGCCGAUAGGUGGUGGUGGUGCGUGACUGACCAACUAAGGAUGCCAAACAGUGUCCGGUUGUCGGCCUCGAGCGAGCGGCCGCGAACAGGUCAGGUGCGUGUACCGCUGAGGCUGGUGCUCGGCAGAGGUGCAGGUGGAGGAGGGGCGGGAGGGUAGGACGGGUGGAGCGCGAGGCAGGAGGAGUCGGGGUAGUCGAGCCCCUGGGUCGGCAGCCGAACGGAGGGCCGAGAUGACGAGGAGCGGCGGCCACCUUCGCGGCGGCAGGCCGUUCCCGCCGCUCAUGGCCGGGAGGAAGCGGCUGCUGAAGGAGGAGCAGAAGAAGGCCCGGUUCUACCACCUCCUCCAACCCACCCUAAGAGUUUUCGGACCUAUGCUGCCCGACUAACUUCAACGCUUAGCGGAAUACUAGUUCCCCUUCUUACGAAGCCUCUGACUCGUUAGUCGACAGGCUCAUGAGGUCCGUGAUAAGGGGGGAGACAACGAUCAGGAAAAGUUUCGUGAAAAUCGUGGUUAACGAUUACCGGUUGAACGUAGGUACUACCAUCGAUCUCGUUGUCGCGAAAGAACGGUUACCGACUACCCGUGUACAAGUCACUUAAGACACCGUGACGGGUUACCCUUCAGCAACAGUUCACCCCACAAACAGCUCUUCACAUUUAUAAACCUUCUCUCGUUUACAGAACCGUAAACAUAGUUAUGCACGUUUGACGGUUGGGUCUGGAAGAAGUUGCUAGUGUACCCGCAGCUAAACAUAUACCUCGGUUUAAAACUUCUGAUAUCGACGGUCAAGUUGAAACCUCAAGGUGGGGGUGGAUAGCUGUGGCUGUUCCGGGACUUCCUUGGUACGAACCUGUAUACGUGUUUGCGCUCUGCCGCGUCUCUCGAACCGUCGUCGCCACCGGGUCUACCAGAUACGGGGGUCCAAACUAGACGACAAAGGGCUUCAUACAUACGAGGGAGGUAAGGUAUUACAUCACAGAUAUCUAAAAAACCUUUCAGUUUGUAACAUUAGUUCAAACAUCUCUUUUGAUAAAUGUAAAUGUCAUGGUUUAUAUAUUUUAUACUUUGAUGCAGAAUACUACUUAGAUUACUAUAUACAAAGCGUAAGAUCUACAUUUAUAAAAAGAGGUGUUUGAACCAGUUUCAACUACUCGAAACUCAAAAGUUUUUUAGGAGCAUAUACAAAAUCAGGGAGUUUAGGAGCAUACUAUUUCAACUUCCUAAACAGCUUAUUGUUCCAACCCGUGACGAAUGUGUUUCUGCUACUUACUUAGAGCAUACUAGACGUACAUGUUCAUUUCUUUUCUUAAUCGUGUGUGAAAAGGGGGUACGGUAGAAAUAGCGACUGCCUUCGAUGCCUAUAUAAACAUAUAUUCGUAUGAUGUAAGACGCAAUCUAAGGUAAGACGGGGAGAUAUACAUCGGGACGUAUACAAAUUUCACUAGUAGGUGGUAGUAGUGCUUACUACCGAUCUCUCGCUCCACCUCCGUACUGGCCGUCGCCGCUGCAGCGCCACGUGUAGCUUGUAGACCGCGCGUCGGACUACGUCUUCGUCCUCCUGCACCGCCGCCUCCUCGUUGUGGCCUGGUACCACUCGUCUGUGGCCCACAGGGCACAGGGACGGGCAGUGGCACUGUCGUUGGGGCUGCGGAUGUGCGGCACCAAGCAACGGUAACCGGGCGAAGUGUUGGCACUCCUAGCCGCGGAGGCGGGGCGGCUUGCCGAGUUCCACCGGAUGGAGUUGUCGGAGUAGAGGGCACCAGUGGGCCUGGGUUGCGUGGUGGAGCGGCAGUAGGUCCUCAUGCAAGCGUAGCAGCGGCCAGCACUCGUCCUCCGGGCCCGGUACAUGCGGUCGCUCCUCCAGCAGCUAUAACGGUGACUACUGAAGUAGGACUACUACCACGAACUGCCGACGAAGUAGUAGCUCGUGGAGCACUUGCAGCGGUGCCGGGCCCUGCUCGGCAGCGACGUGCGGUGCGGGAAGCCGGGUUGCGUCGAGAGGCAGCUGGAGUAGGAGCGUCUCUUGGUCUACGGGAAGAAGCACGAGCAACUAGAGUAGCGGUCGUGGUUCGACGGCCUCAAGCUCACGUACCCGAUGGGGCGCGGUCACGACGAGUACUUCGAGCACGACAUGUUGAAGCGGCCGCUCUUCCCGGCGUCGUACUCGCUCCUCGACGACCGGCGGCUCCCCCAGAGGGUGCAGGACGUGGACGAGGUGCUCUACCAGUGGCGCCGCGCCUGGUCGACCACCGCAGGCUAUGGAGUGUAGGACCUGCCACCGACCCUCGUCCGCCAUUCCGCCGACCACGCGCCAGAUGGCAGAGACCAUAACCGCGGAGACGACGCGACCUAACGGGGGCUCCCGGCGUCCCCCGUACACGCCCUCCUGCACGGCAGCCGUUCGCUGUACUUCGCCUACGCCGACCUCAAGUUCUUCCGCGCGCAGUCCCCGUAUUGCCGCUCGCACCGCCGGUAGCGCAGCCACUACCCGGGCCAGGGAAACCAGCACCUCGAUUGCCUGCCCCUGAUAGAACACGACGGCGUCAACGCCGAGCUCAAGGCCUGCCGCGGUGAGGACGACUUGGACUACCGCAAGCUCGCCAGUCGCAACCGCAGUCGCUUCUGCAACAGGCUGCACAGCCGCAUGUACACAAAGUACUGCUUCGAGCAUGUCUGCCGCCUCCUGCGCCCGAACCAAGACCGCCGUCUCCACCACGUCGUCCUGCCGUCGCGCCCGUUGGUCUCGUAUCUCCUCCACCACUCCAAGAAGGCCUACCACCCGCGGCGCUCGCUCAACCGCCGACCGCCGCUUGACGACUGCAGCUCGAUGGACACGCACGACCACCUCUUCGACUCCCUCGCCUCGGCCUCGACCUGGAUGCGCCUAGCGUUGAUGAUGUGGAAGGAGCGGCUCAAGCACCGGAACCAGUGGAAGCAGAGGCCACAGAGUUGGUAUGAGGUCUGGAUGCGUCGGAAGUUCAUGGUAACUAGUAGAUAAGAAGACCCGGAGGAUGGUUGAUACUUGACGUACGGGUACAUCGGGUAUCCUGAUACAUCGGGUAUCUAGAUCAAAGAAGUUGGAAGAGAAGUGUACGUGUACGAACGAACGUAAUCUCCCCUUUUUUUUAUACUACAGUAGAAUCCAAGAUGGGAUAAAACUUUGACUCCGGACGAGGCCACGAGGGGGGAUUGGAUUAAAGCCUCCCCAUAAAAACAGGGGCACUUAAACAAAAAAAGGACCGGGCGGCGUCGGGUCUAGGUUCGGGACAGAUCGGAACAUAUUGGGUCUGGCAUAUGCAUAUCAUGGGACCAGGCUUUUUUUUUGUAGUGUGCUGGGGUGCAGGUGCAUUCUGGACGGCUUAGGUUAGUAAGUGCGCUCGUCGAGGUAGUUAGAGCACUCGUAACUGCGUUGAGGUAUUCAGUGCAUCAUCUAGACGUGGCCGCCGAUAGAGCAGCGGCCGCUAGAGCAGCCUGCCGCCCGCGCUGUUACAACACUUAGAGGUUGAUAGCGCGUGUCCAUGGCGUAGGGCGCAGGGGGGAGAUCAGAACGAGCGCCGUUGUAGCUUGCUUGACAGCGGCGCGGUCACCGUGACCAAUUGGAUCGCCUCGCCCAUUGGAUCGAUGGGCCGCCGCGUACGCUAGCACCUAGAACAAGGCCAUCACGACGAGGAGCACUAGACCCAGGUGCAUCGCAGCCAACGGCAGCCGACACACGUGGUGGUCAUAGCAAUAAACUACACCGCCGAUUGGAUCCAUAGGCCGCCGUCUCCAUUAGUGUCUAGAUCGAUCCAAAACUCUAGCACGUCAAGGAGCGCUAACUUUCACUAGUGCUGCCCAUGGCACCGGUAGAAGGAAUGAUUCAAACCGUCUAGACUUGUCGGAGCCAACGCCAACAAAUGUAUUGUAGGCACUAGCACACGAUACACAAAAUAUAAAGUAGUAACUAUUACAAACGCGUACACUACUAUGUAUAAUAACCAACAUCCUUUACCACCUGCUCCUCAAUUGGCUAUAGUACCAUCUGUACCUCAAACCUCUUGACUACUUUCUGACCUAUCUUCUAACCAGUCUACUACUUUUAAGUCUAGCACUUCUAGCCAGUCUCUUACCCUUGCUUACCCUGCUAGAAUUACACUCACCGUAACAGUACAACAUUAAAAAACCACCGUAGGCUGUUGUAAUUUAUAAACACAACUUUUAAAUAUCUAGCUACUCGAACUAUUACUAGUCCUUUUGUUGAGCCUCGAGAGCUUACUUCUAAUGUAAUCAGUCAAGUAAAACCUUACAGUAUUACGCAUGCUGAUAAUGCCACUUAGGCUGCACCUCUGUCCGGAAUUGCUGCUUAGUAAUCUACGUGGACCAAGAUCCGUCAGGCUCAGCAGCCAGUAGUACUCACUCCACUAUGUUCUACUACCCCGUUUCUUACAAGUUCUAUGACGGUCACGUCUACUAUUCUCCCUAUACAAGUACGUCUAUUACCUUUACUAGAAAUGCAGAGUGCUACGACGCAUACUGAGGAUGUUGUUGAUACGAUCUCUAUUACCAAAGUUGUAAUCUUUCUUAUUCCAAUCCAUAUCGUUUUGUCUCAGUACAGUAUACGCAAUAUCCGCCAAACAAACAAGUUCUGUUCCCUUUGCACUGUCGUUCAACGAUUGGCUCCUUCCUGUGUUGGCAUCCAAGUCUCGACUCUGUGCGACGAAAACACUUCGCGUGGACUGGCAGUUCGAACUGGUUUUCGCACCCCAAACCAUACAACUUUCAAAACUCCUAUUCGUAUCGGUAUACAACCGUCCUGGUUUGCUCCAUGGAAAAGAAACCAGGGUGUCUUUUUAGUUUCUCAUGGUCUUCGUACUCUAUUACAAGUACCCUCGACGUCCCUAAUCUUAACUGCUGUACUACCUAACGAAGUAGUCGUUUGUACAUACCAUGUCGCCACAACCAAAAUGGUCCGCACUUUAUAUGUUGGAAACGCGGUUCCUCUUCUCCUUCAACGAAAGUUUUCCACUACGACGGUGUCGGUAUCCGUAGUACAGAUCAUCCUUUGUUUCCCUAGGAUCGAAGAAAAAGCUCAUGUACGAUCUAUUCCUUCCUGUAAACUUAUCCUACAAGACCACGCUGAGGGUCAGAGCAGUACUGAUACUCCUGAAGCCGCUGCACGAACAUAAACUGUCGUGCAUGUUCUACUUG
rnacentral:rRNA from 1 species